rnacentral:lncRNA from 1 species
UCACAUCUAAUGUAGCACUACUCCUCCUACUCUAUAAAUAGAUGCAAAAUAAAGAAAGGCUUGCAUUCCCAUACUUUCCCAACAUCGGUCUUUCUUUAAAGUUUUCUAUUUUACAGUUUAAUUAAGGACUAGCCAGCAAGUUUCGAAGAACAAAAAUGAAGACUAAAGUUUAUCUAUUCCUCGGUCUUCUUUUUAGUCUCCUUCUCAUCUCAUCUGUCACCGCAACGGAGACACCUCAAGAUGUGGAAAAGAGUUAGUCGACUUAAUUCUAUUCUUUUUUUAAUUUCGCUAUUCAUCCUUACAAAUAUAUAUAUAUAUAUAUAUAUAUAUAUAUGCAUGCGUGAGUAACUUCGACAGGAUAUAUCUAGAUUCCAUUAACUUAUAACCCUAUGUUAGUGUAUAAGAUUAUAUAUGUUGCAUUUAUUAUAACAAAAGUUGCAUUCGCAUGGAUAAUAUAAAAGCAUCAAAAACAACUUUUAUUAUAUUUAGCAAAUGCAACAAAUUUCUAUGCACUUGCAUGCAUAUAUAUGGUAAGUUAUAUGUCUUUGAUCAUGAAAUUUGGAUCCUUUUGAUAGAGAGGUUUUUUAGAUAAUAUCCUAUUCAUGCAUGUAGAUUAAGGGGUUUGUUUAACUUGUACACUUAUUAUGCCUUUUGAACCUUUUAAGUGUAGUAUCAUUUCUUGUAUAUAUAUAUAUUCAUGGAGAAUCAAGACCUAUCUAGGGAUUUUAAAUAUAAAAAUACACUUAUACAAUUUGUUCAUUUGCAGCGAAUGAAGCUUCUGAAGCAGAUCAUGAGGUAAAUGGUUAUNNN